GCGUCACUUUGCAGAAGCGUGUGCCAGGCAGAUUCUCGACGUCGCUAAUCAGUGGGGGAUAGCUGAUAAAAUCAGCACUAUUGGAACAGACAGCGCUCCUAAUAUGGUGGCAGCAGGGAGGGUACUGCCAUUCGAGCAUUUGCCCUGUGUUGCGCAUGUUGUACAGAGAGCUAUUGUAAUGUCACUUCGGGAAGGUGGUUUUGAUGGUGCACUGGCCAAGUGCCGUAAAGUGGUCUUACGUUUCAAACAUAGUCCGGCCAACUCAGACGAGCUGAAUGUCCAGCAAGCCUCCCUUGGACAAGUUCAGGAGCAACUCGUGCAAGAUGUUCCAACACGGUGGAAUUCCACCCUUGAGAUGAUCAAGCGCGUGAUGCGCAACAAAGACGCACUGCACACAACGCUGUCUCAGCAGAAGCACAAUCUGGCCCUCCCAACAAAUGCUGAAAAUGAGAAGUUGGCAAAGCUAGAGAAACUGCUGGAGCCAUGCAGGUAAAUCACUGAGCUCCUUGGUGGGGAUAAAUAUGUAUCCUGCUCUGUGGUUCUACCUGCCCUGUGCCACCUCCAGCACGCGAUGAAGAUCUCAGAUGAUGAUCCUGCCUAUAUUGUGCGAUUCAAGGCUGCCUUCACCAAGGACCUCAACCAGCGGAGUGAGAAAAUAAACCUGGAAUGGCUUAAGGUGGCGACUGCUCUAGAUCCACGAUUUAAGGAACUCAAGUGCUUGCCCAGAGCAGAGAGGUGUGUGGGCAAAGCUAAGUGAGUUGGUGAAGGGAGAAGAACCUGCUCUGCAGCCACUCGGGGAGGAGAACCCUGAGCCACCCAAGAAGAAAACAGCCCUGCUACUGAUGGGAUCAGACUCAGAAUCAGAUGAGGAGACACCAGAAAACAAUACUGUGGAGAGGUACAAGGUAGAGCCCAGUGCCAGUCUAGAUCAGUGCCCACUGAAGUGGUGGUCGGAGCACACUGCUGUCUAUGGUAAGAUGGCCCACAUUGCUCGUAAAUACUUGGGGACUCCUGCCACAACUGUCCCAUGCGAGAGACUUUUUUCUUUAGCAGGCCAUAUUGUGCAGAAGAGGAGAUCUCCUUUGUCAUCAGAAAAUGUGAACUGCCUGAGUGACUGGUGGAAGAAGGAGAAAUAGAGCUUGGA